GUGCUCACUUUGGCAGCACUUAGACUACAGCUGGAAGGAGACAGAGAUGAUCAGCGUGGCCCCUGCGUGAGGAUGACGUGCAAAUUCAUGAGGCGUUCCAUAUUUAA